UUGUCUUGAGGGUUAAGCCAUGCACGCCUAUGCUCACCCUACACAGAAGGGGAAGCCGCGAACUGCUCAGUAUAUCGGCGAUAAUACACGGGGUGGGCGAUGUUUGUCCGGACACCUGUAGGAAUCCCAGAGCUAAUACGUGCACACGAGUCCUCCUCCUAACGGGGUUACCUCCGCGGGGAGAGGGCGCAUUUAUUAGGAUCUUGACCGGCGGUGGGCAGUCAACGCUGUCCACCAGGCUGAGGCGAACUCUGGGUAUGUGACGACCGCUGUUAGCGGCGUGCCCGUUUGCUCGCCGUCCCAUCAAAUUUAGACGGCCCGGGCAAGAGCCCCCCGUGUUGGCUACGGGUGACGGAGGAUCAGGGUUCGAUCCCGGAGAGGGAGCCUGCGAGACGGCUACCACGCUUAAGGGUGGCAGCAGGCGCGCAACUUACCCACUCCCAGCACGGUGAGGUAGUGAAGAUAAAUGUCGGGGCUGGGCUCGCAUGCGAGCCUAGCGGUCGGAUUGAGCGUAGACCAAACACGUGCCGUUGAUGACCUAUCGGAGGGCAAGUCUGGUGCCAGCAGCCGCGGAAGGGCACCACCAGGAGUGGAGCCUGCGGCUCAAUUUGACUCAACACGAGGAAGCUUACCAGGUCCGGACACCGCGUGGAUUGACAGACUGAGGCUCUUUCAUGAUUCGGUGGGUGGUGGUGCAUGGCCGUUGCUAGCCCGUGGAGCGAUCCGUCUGGUUCAUUCCGAUAACGGGCGAGACUCUGCCCUGGCGGAUAACAAACGGCGGUCAAGAGGGGUUCGUCUCACGGGUUGGGGCGGCGUCAGGCUCUCGGGUCGGGCGUCGUUCUUCCCACUCAGGGAGAGUCGUUGCCCCGGACCGCCGUCGCGCAGGCCGCGUCUUGCAGGGAUUGACCUCGAGCAGUGCGUACGAGAUGGAGCCAUAACAGGUCUGUGAUGCCCUUAGACGUCCUGGGCUGCACGUGUGCUACAGUGGUGGCGCCAGCUCGGCGCGGUGUAGACCGUGAGCGUAGGAGUCUUCAUCUCCGGGGUCGGUCUUCCUGCGAGUUGGGCCGUGAACUCGGAAUGCCACGUAGUCACGGGUCAGCAUCCCGUGCCGACUACGUCCCUGCCCUUUGUACACACCGCCCGUCGCUACCUUCGGUGGACGGCGCAGCCAGGACCCCGGAGUGGCCGGCGAGACGGGGCCUCGUGCCCCUGAAAUCGCAGUCGCCGCGAUGUCGCCCGAACUGCGCUGCCCCGAGAGGGUAAUAGUCGUAACGCGGUUA
rnacentral:rRNA from 1 species